UACGAAGGGGGCUAGCGUUGUUCGGAAUUACUGGGCGUAAAGCGCACGUAGGCGGAUAUUUAAGUCAGGGGUGAAAUCCCAGAGCUCAACUCUGGAACUGCCUUUGAUACUGGGUAUCUCGAGUAUGGAAGAGGUGAGUGGAAUUCCGAGUGUAGAGGUGAAAUUCGUAGAUAUUCGGAGGAACACCAGUGGCGAAGGCGGUUCUCUGGGACGGUACUGACGCUGAGACGCGAAAGCGUGGGGAGCGAACAGG
rnacentral:rRNA from 1 species